UACAGAGGGUGCGAGCGUUAAUCGGAAUUACUGGGCGUAAAGCGCACGUAGUCGGCUUUGCAAGUCGGUUGUGAAAUCCCCGGGCUCAACCUGGGAACUGCAUCCGAGACUGCAUAGCUAGAGUAUGGGAGAGGAAAGCGGAAUUUCUGGUGUAGCAGUGAAAUGCGUAGAUAUCAGAAGGAACAUCAGUGGCGAAGGCGGCUUUCUGGACCAAUACUGACGAUCAGGUGCGAAAGCGUGGGGAGCAAACAGG
rnacentral:rRNA from 1 species